UCGAGAAUCUUCGGCAAUGAGCGCAAGCUUGACCGAGCGACGCCGCGUGCGGGAUGAAGGCCUUCGGGUUGUAAACCGCUUUGGUCCGAGAGAAAGGGCAACUUGAUCGAUCGGAGAAACAAGGACGGGCUAAGUUCGUGCCAGCAGCCGCGGUAAGACGAACCGUCCAAACGUUAUUCGGAAUCACUGGGCUUAAAGGGCGCGUAGGCGGCCGAGCGGGUCGCGGGUGAAAUCCUCCAGCUUAACUGGAGAACUGCCCUCGAUACCACUGCGGCUCGAGGAAGGAAGGGGCAAUCGGAACUGUCGGUGGAGCGGUGAAAUGCGUUGAUAUCGACAGGAACGCCGGUGGCGAAAGCGGAUUGCUGGUCCUUUUCUGACGCUGAUGCGCGAAAGCCAGGGGAGCAAACGG
rnacentral:rRNA from 1 species